AGCCACGGCUAACUACGUGCCAGCAGCCGCGGUAAUACGUAGGUGGCAAGCGUUAUCCGGAAUUAUUGGGCGUAAAGAGUGAGCAGGCGGCCGUUUAAGUCUGAAGUCAAAUGCAGUGGCUUAACCACUGUCCGCUUUGGAAACUGGAUGGCUAGAGUACGAGAGAAGUAAGCGGAAUUCCAUGUGUAGCGGUGAAAUGCGUAGAUAUAUGGAGGAACACCAGAGGCGAAGGCGGCUUACUAGAUCGAUACUGACGCUCAGUCACGAAAGCGUGGGUAGCAAAUAGGAUUAGAUACCCUAGUAGUCCACGCCGUAAACGAUGAGAACUAGGUGUAGGGCCAAACCCUGUGCCGAAGCUAACGCAUUAAGUUCUCCGCCUGGGGAGUACGUUCGCAAGAAUGAAACUUAAAGGAAUUGACGGGGGCCCGCACAAGCAGUGGAGCAUGUGGUUUAAUUCGAAGCUACGCGAAGAACCUUACCAGGGCUUGACAUAGUGUCUAAGACUCUAGAGAUAGAGGGAUAAUAGGUACAUACAGGUGGUGCAUGGUUGUCGUCAGCUCGUGUCGUGAGAUGUUAGGUUAAGUCCUCCAACGAGCGCAACCCUUGUCCUUAGUUGCCAGCAUUUAGUUGGGGACUCUAGGGAGACCGCCGGCGUAAGCCGGAGGAAGGUGGGGAUGACGUCAAAUCAUCAUGCUCUUUAUGUCCUGGGCGACACACGUGCUACAAUGGUCGGUACAAUGAGAUGCAAAAUCGCGAGGUAGAGCAAAUCUAUAAAGCCGAUCUCAGUUCGGAUUGGAGUCUGCAACUCGACUCCAUGAAGUCGGAAUUGCUAGUAAUCGCAAAUCAGCCAUGUUGCGGUGAAUACGUUCCCGGGCCUUGUACACACCGCCCGUCAAACCAUGAGAGCUGGUAAUACUCGAAGUCGGUGUCCUAACCCGUAAGGGAGGGAGCCGCCUAAGGUAGGACUAGUGAUUGGGGUUAAGUCGUAACAAGGUAUCCCUACGGGAACGUGGGGAUG
rnacentral:rRNA from 1 species